CCUGGGGCGGAAUCCCACAGCGCCUCGUGGUGCGCCUAACCCGUCCGGCUCCUGACGCCGGCUUUGUCACUAGAGAUUAGGACCAGCGGUGUGCAAUGGAUCUUAACAUAAAAAACUAUGUAAAGUACCAACUGCUGAUGCCUUCUUCCGGGCACCUCAGUUUGCCCCGUGGACAGCGAGACGGUACGUAGUGUUUCGGCGGUCGCGUACAAGGAAUGUAUUUUCAGUUAUACUGUAUAAAGGUUUGUAGCUUUGCUUUUGAUUACGUUUGUGAAUAAUUAUUCGUGUGUCGUUUAAUGUCGUUUUUGUUAAAAUGCAUUAUUUUGAUGGAUAGGUGACCGGGCUUUUUAUGUUCUCUGUUAGGGGUUACACACAGUCUUCUUCCUAUGUUCACGUGUUUUAAUAAUUGUUCCACCGAUCUGGGUAGAACAAUUAUUAAAACACGUGAACAUAGGGGUUACACACAGUCUUCUUCCUAACAGGAAGUUAGGAAGUGCUCCACACAAACACGAACGAGUGUUAUUUUUCAAUUACGUGUGGCUUGCCGUGAUCGUAUAGUGGUUAGUACUUUGCGUUGUGGCCGCAACAGCCCCGAUUCGAAUCCGAGUCACGGCAGAUGAUGUCUUAUAAAGCUAUUACUUUUCACACCACAUGUUUCAACUUACGUUUUUAAAUCUCUUUUUUUUAAUCAAUUUAGCUGUUUAUUUACUUGAAACCGUAGUAUUCAAAGUCGGAUAUUAAUCUGAAUGCUGAAACUCAUUUUCGGGUUAUUAAAAACAAGAACCCUGUAUCCAAUUAGGAGUACUUGCUUGUUUGUGAAGCUGAAUUAUACAGAGAUCUGCUUCAUUUUCUGUAUAUCUACUUAUAGGACGUUCGUCGGACGUUUUUCUUAAAAAAAAAAGAAAACUAAUAAAAUGACAUGACGUUAUUCUUGCUUCUGCAAUGAAUCCUCCAGAUAGUGGAGACGGCAGCGAAAUUGCAUCCAACAUGUUACACACAACAAUACAAUUUGUAAUAUAUAUUUAACUGUCAGUAAGUUUAAUGAUAUUGUCCUGCCAGAGUUUAAACACAGUGAGCACACCUGUGUAGCAGGCAUCUCCUGUCCUGCUGUCCUUCACAUCCUCCCUGCAUUGGUUUAAUGGUUGGGCCAACGCUGUGGAUACCAUGAUUAUUGUUAGCCUGUAUAGUGCUGAUUGCCAGCAGGCCGUCGUGUCACAAUGCACAAAGUAUGGUAUUCUCUCCAUCCAUCCAUUUUCCAAACUGCUUAUCCUACUGGGUCGCGGGGGGUCCCCGGAGCUUAUGCCAGAAUGGCACGUGGCAGGGAACAACCCAGGAUGGGGGGACAGCCCAUCGCAGGGCACACUCACUCCAUUCACUCACACAUGCACUCCUACGGGCAAUUUAGCAAGUCCAAUUAGCCUCAGCAUGUUUUUGGACUGUGAGGGGAAACUGGAGUACCUGGAGGAAACCCCAUGACGACAUGGGAAGAACAUGCAAACUCCACACACAUGUAACCCAGGCGGAAACUCGAACCCGGGACCCAGAGGUGUGAGGCAACAAUGCUAACCACUGCACCACAAUGCCGCCCCAAGUUUGGUAUUAUUUGUUUUAAAUAAAUAAAUAAAUAAAUAUAAAAGACAUGCAAUUGCAAGACACUGUCUCCAUAAACUUUAUUAUAUUAUCAGAACUUCAUUAGCAGCCGUUAUUGAUCCAGGAUUUUUUUCAUUCAGGGUCUAGUGAACGUUGAUCAAAUCAUUUUUUGAUGUUUUUACAGGAGAUUCUUCUGCUUUUUUCUGUUCAUCUGCUCGAUAAACGUGUUAUCUAACUGCUUAGGAUGAUGCUGCUAACGUAGCCUGUUUGCUGUUAUAAGAUCUUGUUAUAUUAUAAGAUCCCCUACGUAAAGUCGCCGACUUGAUACUAAGGAGAUCAUGUUUAAUUCUGAAGCUUGACUUUUAAAAAAAUUACAUCGCAAAACGAAUCAGAACCUCUGUCAAAAAAAAAAAAUCACAAUUAACCUUUCUGCUUCACAAACCAAAAAACAACACGGGCCAAGAAAAAUAGUUCAUGAGAGUUUAUUUAAUUGCAGUACGUUACAGGUCAGUACAUUUUGCCACAGUCACAUCCUGCUCAUUCCCAUCAGUGCGGUAAGGUGGCCAAGACAGGUCAACGAAGAGUUUUCUUGUCCGAGUUGCCCCUGUGACGCAAUUUCAACAUGGCGGCUUACACACUCUACAGGAAUUCUAUUUUAUAAAUCUUUAAAAAUGUUUAUUUUGUUAAAUGUAUGAAUAGUUAUAAAUGUAAUUGCACGUGUUAGAUUUAGAGAAUAAAAUAUCGUGACCGUAAACAGUAUCCUAGCAUGCAAUAUCAGUUUUUUACCAGACUUACUGUUUUUGAUUUGUUUGUAGUUUGUUUGCCUCUCGAAAAAAGAAUAUCGCUAUGAAUGUACUAAAAUAUUUUAUAAAUAUUUAACAGCAUUCCCAAUAUAAAGCAAUUGUAGGUUCAGGGCCCACUAGAGUUAGAUCAUUGCUGGCAUUCACAGGAUUCAAAUCAGCAACCUUCCGAUUGCUGGCACAGCUUGCUAGCCUCAGAGCUACCACAGUGAUUUACUGUAAAUGCAUUUAAUUUAGUAGCAGAACAAAUUCUUCAUUAUUCAUUAGCCAAUCACUUAAACAUAGUUGACGGUGGAGUCCGUGGGUGUGUGUAUGUAUGUAUGUGUCCUGCCCCGAUCGUCUGCUCCUCCUGCGUGUCACGCCCUCUCGCUGACCUAGUGUGGAUUCCCCGUGUUCACCAGCUGUUUCCGGUUACCGUCGUCAGUCCAAUGUAUUCAGUUUGUUUGCCCAUACAGGUCAUUGUAUUGUCUGUCUACGUUUUGGCUCGCUUUAUGCACCAUUAAAACCCGUAAUCCCA